CAGGCUUAACACAUGCAAGUCGAGGGGUAGUUACUUUCGGGUAAUGAGACCGGCGCACGGGUGCGUAACGCGUAUGCAAUCUACCUUUUACAGGGGAAUAGCCCAGAGAAAUUUGGAUUAAUGCCCCAUAGUAUGUAUGAAUCGCAUGGUUUAUACAUUAAAGUUCCAACGGUAAAAGAUGAGCAUGCGUCCCAUUAGUUAGUUGGUAAGGUAACGGCUUACCAAGACGAUGAUGGGUAGGGGUCCUGAGAGGGAGAUCCCCCACACUGGUACUGAGACACGGACCAGACUCCUACGGGAGGCAGCAGUGAGGAAUAUUGGACAAUGGGCGCAAGCCUGAUCCAGCCAUGCCGCGUGCAGGAAGAAGCAUCUAUGGUGUGUAAACUGCUUUUGUACAGGAAGAAACACUCCCUCGUGAGGGAGCUUGACGGUACUGUAAGAAUAAGGAUCGGCUAACUCCGUGCCAGCAGCCGCGGUAAUACGGAGGAUCCAAGCGUUAUCCGGAAUCAUUGGGUUUAAAGGGUCCGUAGGCGGUUUGAUAAGUCAGUGGUGAAAGCCCAUCGCUCAACGAUGGAACGGCCAUUGAUACUGUCAGACUUGAAUUACU
rnacentral:rRNA from 1 species